rnacentral:tRNA from 1 species
UGGGUCAGGUGGCGAUUCUGGUCUUCAAGUCCGGAUGAGGCUGCAAGCUGCUCCG